rnacentral:ncRNA from 1 species
UUUUUAUGUCAAUUGUUAUUAUUCAUAUUAAUUUUUUUUAAAGUUUUUAAUUUUUAUAUUAGUUUAUUGACAAACUUGCUUAAAUCUAUGUUUAGGAAUAGUUAAUAAUAUUUUAUAAUUCUGAUUAGAUUACAUUGUUAGUGCUAUAUAAAGGGGUGUGGAAAUUGUAGUCAAAUAUAAUAAAUAAUUAUAUAAUAAAUUACAUUAUUUACUAACCAGUCAGAAAUGGAUGCCAGCCGUUGCGGUAAUAUCUAUGCUUUUAAAUAUUAUACAUUUAUUUUAUAAUUUUGUUACUUAAUAUAUUUUAGUCAAUUAAAACAUAUGUUUUUGUUAUUUGUUUUUAAACACCGAUUGGUAUAUGCAAAUUUAAAAUGACAUUAAUUAUUAAUUAUAUUAUUUUAUAUUUAUUCAAAUUGUUAAAAAAUAAAAAUUUAUGUAAUUUGACACCAUGAAAAGGACUAUGAAUGAUAUUGUAAAUUUUAUAAUCAAAAUUAACUUAUUAUAUCAAAAAAGCAAUAUUAGAUAAAAAAGUAGAUUUAAAAGGUAUUGUUGCCCACCAAUUUUUAUAAUAAAAAUAACGUGCAGUAAUUAAUGAACUUAUAAAAGUACAUU